rnacentral:rRNA from 1 species
CCAAAGGACUUGACGGUGUCCCACCCAACUAGAGGAGCCUGUUCUAUAAUCGAUAAUCCACGAUACACCUAACCACUUCUUGCUUAUCAGCCUGUAUACCUCCGUCGUAAGCUUACCAUGUGAACGCCCAAUAGUAGGCCUAAGGGUCCCAACACCACAACGUCAGGUCAAGGUGCAGCUCAUGAAGUGGAAGAGAUGAGCUACAAUUUCUAACUUAGAACAAACGAAAUACUGCAUGAAACACAGUCAUGAAGGAGGAUUUAGCAGUAAGUGGGAAAUAGAGAGUCCCACUAAACUCGGCCCUGGGACGUGUACAAACCGCCCGUCACCCUCUUCGAUAGCCCCUGCUCAGUUCUUAACACGAUAUCGCACUUUAGAAGAGGCAAGUCGUAACACGGUAAGUAUACUGGAAAGUGUACUUGGAA